AUGAACGCUAGCGGCAGGCUUAAUACAUGCAAGUUGAGGGGCAGCAUGAUAUACGCGAGUAUAUUGAUGGCGACCGGCGGACGGGUGAGUAAUAGGUAGGAGACCUACCUCAUACAGGGGGAUAGCAUAGAGAAAUCUGUGGUAAUACCCCAUGAGGUUAUAUGAAUAGAGGCAUAUAAUCAAAGCAUAAGCGAUUAUGCGGUAUGGAGAGGGGCCUACUGACCAUUAGCUAGUUGGUGAGGUAAGGGCUCACCAAGGCGAAGAUGGUUAGGGGUUUUGAGAGAGAGACCCCCCACAUUGGAACUGAGAGACGGUCCAGACUCCUACGGGAGGCAGCAGUAGGGAAUAUUGGGCAAUGGGCGAAAGCCUGACCCAGCCAUGCCGCGUGAAGGAAGACGGCCUUAUGGGUUGUAAACUUCUUUACUACGCGAAUAGAGGUUAGUACGAGAUACUAAUAGGAAGGUAGUGUAGUAAAAAGCACCGGCUAACUCCGUG
rnacentral:rRNA from 1 species